CAAUAGCGUAUAUUAAAGUUGUUGCGGUUAAAAAGCUCGUAGUUGGAUUUCUGCCGAGGACGACCGGUCCGCCCUCUGGGUGAGUAUCUGGUUCGGCCUGGGCAUCUUCUUGGAGAACGUAUCUGCACUUGACUGUGUGGUGCGGUAUCCAGGACUUUUACUUUGAGGAAAUUAGAGUGUUUCAAGCAGGCACACGCCUUGAAUACAUUAGCAUGGAAUAAUAAGAUAGGACCUUGGUUCUAUUUUGUUGGUUUCUAGAGCUGAGGUAAUGAUUAAUAGGGAUAGGUUGGGGCAUUCGUAUUUAACUGUCAGAGGUGAAAUUCUUGGUAUUUAGUUAAAGACGGACUACUGCGAAAGCAUUUGCCAAGGAUUGUUUUCUAUUGAUCAAGAACGAAAGUUAGAGGAUCGAAGACGAUUAGAUACCGU
rnacentral:rRNA from 1 species